ACCUCAGUAAGAAUCAAAUAAGAAACACAGGAGUGAAUCUCUUAUGUGACGUACUGAAGGAUUCACACUGUAAACUGGAGACACUGGGACUGUGUGACUGUGGCAUCUCAGAUAUUUCAUCUUUAACUCAGUGUUUGAUGAAUACAAAAGCUCUGCGGUUUCUAAAAGAGCUUGAUCUGAGAUUCAAUCACAUUGGAGACUCAAAGCAGAAGCUCAUUGAUGUGAUGCGAGACUCAAACUGUAAACUGAUAAUAAAGCGUCAGCGGCCUGAUGACUCGAGAUGCUGUAUAUCAUAGUCAGCUUUGAAGAUGAGAGGAUCAGUGAACAUCAGUUGAGGAUCCACAGAAGAGUCUCAAUACUGUGGUAAAAUGUAGGAUUAGAAUGUGAUGAUAAAUGUUAAAUCAGGUGAAGAGACUCAGAAUGACAAGCAAAUAAUACAGUGUGUGUUAGAAACAUGAUAUUGAAUCUAUUUUCAUUACACAAUUUUUAAUUAUUAAUAUACAUUUUUAAGUACAAUACUUAAAUGUUUCAAAAGUAGAACAACGAUAAAAUUCCAAAAGUAGGUGUUCUUAAAUUUCAUUUUUAGCAUAUCUUUAUUACUGUAUUAUAUUUUAUAUUCUGCUUGCUAUAUGUGUCUGUUUCUGAUGCACAAAUGUUCAGCAUAUUGUGUUUGUUCUGUUGGAAAAAAGGGAUAUUUGUUUUCUUUUUUUUUCUUUUCAUUAAACAAUUGUAUUUGUAUUGCUUAAGGUGAAACAUUAACCAAACUUGUUCUCUUGAGUGUGAUAUGCCUUGCAUACAAAUGAAGCUGAUAUUAAUGCAAAA